rnacentral:misc_RNA from 1 species
GAUGAAGAACGCAGUGAAAUGCGAUAAGUAGUGUGAAUUGCAGAAUUCAGUGAAUCAUCGAAUCUUUGAACGCACAUUGCGCCCUUUGGUAUUCCAUUGGGCAUGCCUGUUCGAGCGUCGUUUGGUCGAUCAAGCUCUGCUUGGUGAUGGGCGAUUUUGUCCUGCCGUUGCGUGUGGACUCGCCUCAAAACGAUUGGCAGCCGGUAUCCUUUGGCCCCCGCAUGCAGCAGAGACCGCGUGCAUGGAGUCUAGGAGAAGGCGUCCAGGAGUGUACUUUUUAAGCUGGACCUCGGAUCAGGUAGGGAUACCCGCUGAACUUAAGCAUAUCAAUAAGCGGAGGA